AUCUUGGAGAGUUUGAUCCUGGCUCAGGACGAACGCUGGCGGCGUGCUUAACACAUGCAAGUCGAACGAAGAGCGAUGGAAGCUUGCUUCUAUCAAUCUUAGUGGCGAACGGGUGAGUAACGCGUAAUCAACCUGCCCUUCAGAGGGGGACAACAGUUGGAAACGACUGCUAAUACCGCAUACGAUCCAAUCUCGGCAUCGAGACUGGAUGAAAGGUGGCCUCUAUUUAUAAGCUAUCACUGAAGGAGGGGAUUGCGUCUGAUUAGCUAGUUGGAGGGGUAACGGCCCACCAAGGCGAUGAUCAGUAGCCGGUCUGAGAGGAUGAACGGCCACAUUGGGACUGAGACACGGCCCAGACUCCUACGGGAGGCAGCAGUGGGGAAUCUUCCGCAAUGGACGAAAGUCUGACGGAGCAACGCCGCGUGAGUGAUGACGGCCUUCGGGUUGUAAAGCUCUGUUAAUCGGGACGAAUGGUUCUUGUGC
rnacentral:rRNA from 1 species